GCCAGGUGUGGUUGCGCACACCUGUAAUCUCAACAGCUGGGGAGGCUGAGGCAGGAGGAUCGUGAGUUCAAAGCCAACCUCAGCAAUUUAGUAAGGCCUUAAGCUACUCAGGGAGACCCCGUCUCUA
rnacentral:sRNA from 1 species